UUGCUCCUACGGGACGCAGCAGUGGGGAAUAUUGGGCAAUGGGCGCAAGCCUGACCCAGCAACGCCGCGUGAAGGAAGAAGGCUUUCGGGUUGUAAACUUCUUUUAUUCGGGACGAAGAAAGUGACGGUACCGAAUGAAUAAGCCACGGCUAACUACGUGCCAGCAGCCGCGGUAAUACGUAGGUGGCAAGCGUUGUCCGGAUUUACUGGGUGUAAAGGGCGUGCAGCCGGAGAGACAAGUCAGAUGUGAAAUCCACGGGCUCAACCCGUGAACUGCAUUUGAAACUGUUUCCCUUGAGUGUCGG
rnacentral:rRNA from 1 species